rnacentral:rRNA from 1 species
UACGAAGGGGGCUAGCGUUGUUCGGAAUCACUGGGCGUAAAGGGCGCGUAGGCGGCUUUUUAAGUCAGGGGUGAAAUCCUGGAGCUCAACUCCAGAACUGCCCUUGAUACUGAGAGGCUCGAGUUCGGGAGAGGUGAGUGGAACUGCGAGUGUAGAGGUGAAAUUCGUAGAUAUCGGGAGGAACACCGGAGGCGAAGGCGGCCCCCUGGACAGACACUGACGCUGAGGCGCGAAAGCGUGGGGAGCAAACAGG